UACGUAGGGUGCAAGCGUUGUCCGGAAUUAUUGGGCGUAAAAGAGCUUGUAGGCGGUUUGUCGCGUCUGCUGUGAAAUUUCGGGGCUCAACCCCGAACUUGCAGUGGGUACGGGGCAGACUAGAGUGUGGUAGGGGAGACUGGAAUUCCUGGUGUAGCGGUGAAAUGCGCAGAUAGUCAGGAGGAACACCUAUUGCGAAGGCAGCUCGCUGGGACGUAACUGACGCUGAGACGCGAAAGCGUGGGAGCAA
rnacentral:rRNA from 1 species